rnacentral:tRNA from 6 species
AGGGGUGUAGCUCAGCUGGUCAGAGCAACGGUCUCCAAAACCGUAGGCCGCAGGUUCGAAUCCUGCCGCCCCUGCCA